rnacentral:lncRNA from 1 species
AUAGCUGGCGGUUAUAGCAUGGCAACUCUUGACUGUGACCUGACGAUCUACGACUGUGACGGCCUGAACAUCACUGUGGCGAUGUAUGAGGCUGUGCUGCACGGCUGCACGGCCGACGCUGGCACCGCGGCUUCUUCGGCAUUCCUUUGCGGCACCAUGGAGGUGACCGCAGCUCAGCGCACUGCUGUGCUUGGAGGGUGCACUCAGAAAUGCUUGGGUGGCGCUGUCGAGUUGAGCGGCGGUGCGGCACAGGGCGGCGUGGGCGGCGCGGUGGUCGUGACGGGCGGUGCGACGAACAGCACUAACCCGUACGCUCGCGGCGGUCAUGUUGAGGUCCGUGGUGGCACAGCUGCACUUGGCAGCGGUGGCGCAGUUUUGUUGUCGAGCGGCCGCAGCGCGCAGCGCUCAAGUGGUGAGGUGCUGGUGCGUACGGAGACGAGCGGCAACGACGGCGUGAGCGGCGAGAUCAGCGUCGAGACCGGUGCGUCCGCGGUCGGAGACAGCGGCGGGAUCACGCUGGCCACGGGGUCGGCGAUGACCGGCGCUGGCGGGGACGUGAACCUGCUGGUGGGAUCUGGCGACACCGAGAACGGCGGAGCUGUGGUGAUAAAAGCUGGCGAGAGCCACGCCGACUCGAAGAAGGGCGGCGGUGUGUUCAUCACAUCUGGCGCCGGCACGAGCGCCCAGGAAGGCUCUGGCGGCGAGCUCGUCAUGAUGGCGGGCAACGCUGAGGGCAGCUUGGCUGGCGACGGAGGCCGAGUUGAAAUCAGAGGUGGCAAGGCCGUUGGUGGCAGGGGUGGCGACGUGGCGGUGUCUGGUGGCAACAGCUACUCGGGCGACGGCGGCGCGCUGAUCCUGCAGGGCGGCUCGUCCGAAACCGGCACCGGCGGCGACGUGAUCCUCGACGCGGGCGAGAGCGGCACCCACGAGGAGUCCAAGGAGGGCAUGAUUCGCAUUGCUCCCACAAGUGCAUCCUACGUCAGGAUUGGCCGCAGCGGAUCCAAGACUGUGCGCACAGAUGUUUUUGGUGAUCUGACUGUGCACGGCAGCUUCGUGUCGACAAACAGCAUGGUGUUCCAGGACACGUACGCAGAGCGCGUGCACGUGAGCCAAGAGCAGGACCUGGUCAUCCAGGAAGAGACGCGUGUGCCAAAGAUCACGGGUCUGGACUCCGAAGAUGUGUCUGCUACCCCCACGAGCACGCUGACUCUUGACGCGGGCCAGGGCGGCAGUGACCAGUGGAUUGAGAUCGGUCCUUGGGAGGCUGAGUACAUCACCAUCGGUGGCAAGAACAACAAUGCCUCCCACGGUGCCCGCGACCAGUCUGCGCUGCUCCUGAGACAGGGCUACGACGAGGCUGACAAGCGCCUGCAGAUGAACCGCACAGGAGCAAUCCUGAUGCAGGCUGCGGCGUCCAUGCCAAUUCUGAUCCACACCAACCCGACGCGCGGUACCAAUAACACCGGCGGCGACAUCAACAUGCUGGUCGGGUCCGGCGACACCGGGCACGGCGGCAACAUGACGCUGACGUCCGGCGACACCGUGGACGCUCGCCACAGAGGAGGCUUCCUGACACUCACGGCUGGUGGAAACAACAACACCGUGGGUGGCCGGGGCGGAGUGGUGAAGGUGACCGGCGGUUUUGCUGGUGGCACGACCGACUGCGAUCUGGACUACUACGAGUGCGGCGGCCUGAACAUCACUGUGGCGAUGUACGAGGCUGUGCUGCACGGCUGCACGGCCGACGCUGGCACCGCGGCUUCUUCGGCAUUCCUUUGCGGCACCAUGGAGGUGACCGCAGCUCAGCGCACUGCUGUGCUUGGAGGGUGCACCCAGAAAUGCUUGGGUGGCGCUGUCGAGGUGAGCGGCGGUCUGUCGUCGGGCGGCGUUGGCGGCGCGGUGGUCGUGACGGGCGGUGCGACGAGCAGCACCGACCCGUACGCUCGCGGCGGUAACGUGGAGGUCCGUGGUGGCACAGCUGCACUUGGCAGCGGUGGCGCAGUUUUGUUGUCGAGCGGCCGCAGCGCGCAGCGCUCAAGUGGUGAGGUGCUGGUGCGUACGGAGACGAGCGGCAACGACGGCGUGAGCGGCGAGAUCAGCGUCGAGACCGGUGCAUCCGCGGUCGGAGACAGCGGCGGGAUCACGCUGGCCACGGGGUCGGCGAUGACCGGCGCUGGCGGGGACGUGAACCUGCUGGUGGGAUGUGGCGACACCGAGAACGGCGGAGCUGUGGUGAUAAAAGCUGGCGAGAGCCACGCCGACUCGAAGAAGGGCGGCGGUGUGUUCAUCACAUCUGGCGCCGGCACGAGCGCCCAGGAAGGCUCUGGCGGCGAGCUCGUCAUGAUGGCGGGCAACGCUGAGGGCAGCUCGGCUGGCGACGGAGGCCGAGUUGAAAUCAGAGGUGGCAAGGCCGUUGGUGGCAGGGGUGGCGACGUGGCGGUGUCUGGUGGCAACAGCUACUCGGGCGACGGCGGCGCGCUGAUCCUGCAGGGCGGCUCGUCCGAAACCGGCACCGGCGGCGACGUGAUCCUCGACGCGGGCGAGAGCGGCACCCACGAGGAGUCCAAGGAGGGCAUGAUUCGCAUUGCUCCCACAAGUGCAUCCUACGUCAGGAUUGGCCGCAGCGGAUCCAAGACUGUGCGCACAGAUGUUUUUGGUGAUCUGACUGUGCACGGCAGCUUCGUGUCGACAAACAGCAUGGUGUUCCAGGACACGUACGCAGAGCGCGUGCACGUGAGCCAAGAGCAGGACCUGGUCAUCCAGGAAGAGACGCGUGUGCCAAAGAUCACGGGUCUGGACUCCGAAGAUGUGUCUGCUACCCCCACGAGCACGCUGACUCUUGACGCGGGCCAGGGCGGCAGUGACCAGUGGAUUGAGAUCGGUCCUUGGGAGGCUGAGUACAUCACCAUCGGUGGCAAGAACAACAAUGCCUCCCACGGUGCCCGCGACCAGUCUGCGCUGCUCCUGAGACAGGGCUACGAUGAGGCUGACAAGCGCCUGCAGAUGAACCGCACAGGAGCAAUCCUGAUGCAGGCUGCGGCGUCCAUGCCAAUUCUGAUCCACACCAACCCGACGCGCGGUACCAAUAACACCGGCGGCGACAUCAACAUGCUGGUCGGGUCCGGCGACACCGGGCACGGCGGCAACAUGACGCUGACGUCCGGCGACACCGUGGACGCUCGCCACAGAGGAGGCUUCCUGACACUCACGGCUGGUGGAAACAACAACACCGUGGGUGGCCGGGGCGGAGUGGUGAAGGUGACCGGCGGUUUUGCUGGUGGCACGACCGACUGCGAUCUGGACUACUACGAGUGCGGCGGCCUGAACGUCACUGUGGCGAUGUACGAGGCUGUGCUGCACGGCUGCACGACUAAGAACUCCACGCAUUUCCUGUGCAGCUCGCUCGAUGUAUCUUCUGACCAGCGCACUGCUGUGCUUGGAGGUUGCACCCAGAAAUGCUUGGGUGGCGCUGUCGAGGUGAGCGGCGGUCUGUCGUCGGGCGGCGUUGGCGGCGCGGUGGUCGUGACGGGCGGUGCGACGAGCAGCACUGACUCGCAAGGCCGCGGCGGUAAUGUGGAGAUCCGCGGCGGAUCGUCAAGCGCUGGGGAGGGUGGCUCUCUGCUGUUGACCGGCGGAUUUUCGGAUCUCAGUACUGGCGGUGAUGUGAUUGUUGAUGCGGGUUUCAGUGGCACGGCAAAUACUUCAAUGGAGGGUCUAAUUCGCGUCGCACCGACGCGGGCUACGAUCGUCACCAUCGGCAGCACUGAGCACAUCGUCCCUACAGAGUUCUUCGGCGACGUCACGGUAUACGGCAGACUGACUUCAACCCCACCAGCUGGAGGCGAUCUGACGUUGACAGCUGGUGACAACGAUGACACCGUCAAUGGUAAAGGAGGAUCCGCUAAGAUAGCUGGCGGUUAUAGCAUGGCCACUUCUGACUGUGACCUGACGAUCUACGACUGCGGCGGCCUGAACAUCACUGUGGCGAUGUACGAGGCUGUGCUGCACGGCUGCACGGCCGACGCUGGCACCGCGGCUUCUUCGGCAUUCCUUUGCGGCACCAUGGAGGUGACCGCAGCUCAGCGCACUGCUGUGCUUGGAGGGUGCACUCAGAAAUGCUUGGGUGGCGCUGUCGAGUUGAGCGGCGGUGCGGCACAGGGCGGCGUUGGCGGCGCGGUGGUCGUGACGGGCGGUGCGACGAACAGCACUAACCCGUACGCUCGCGGCGGUCAUGUUGAGGUCCGUGGUGGCACAGCUGCACUUGGCAGCGGUGGCGCAGUUUUGUUGUCGAGCGGCCGCAGCGCGCAGCGCUCAAGUGGUGAGGUGCUGGUGCGUACGGAGACGAGCGGCAACGACGGCGUGAGCGGCGAGAUCAGCGUCGAGACCGGUGCAUCCGCGGUCGGAGACAGCGGCGGGAUCACGCUGGCCACGGGGUCGGCGAUGACCGGCGCUGGCGGGGACGUGAACCUGCUGGUGGGAUCUGGCGACACCGAGAACGGCGGAGCUGUGGUGAUAAAAGCUGGCGAGAGCCACGCCGACUCGAAGAAGGGCGGCGGUGUGUUCAUCACAUCUGGCGCCGGCACGAGCGCCCAGGAAGGCUCUGGCGGCGAGCUCGUCAUGAUGGCGGGCAACGCUGAGGGCAGCUUGGCUGGCGACGGAGGCCGAGUUGAAAUCAGAGGUGGCAAGGCCGUUGGUGGCAGGGGUGGCGACGUGGCGGUGUCUGGUGGCAACAGCUACUCGGGCGACGGCGGCGCGCUGAUCCUGCAGGGCGGCUCGUCCGAAACCGGCACCGGCGGCGACGUGAUCCUCGACGCGGGCGAGAGCGGCACCCACGAGGAGUCCAAGGAGGGCAUGAUUCGCAUUGCUCCCACAAGUGCAUCCUACGUCAGGAUUGGCCGCAGCGGAUCCAAGACUGUGCGCACAGAUGUUUUUGGUGAUCUGACUGUGCACGGCAGCUUCGUGUCGACAAACAGCAUGGUGUUCCAGGACACGUACGCAGAGCGCGUGCACGUGAGCCAAGAGCAGGACCUGGUCAUCCAGGAAGAGACGCGUGUGCCAAAGAUCACGGGUCUGGACUCCGAAGAUGCGUCUGCUACCCCCACGAGCACGCUGACUCUUGACGCGGGCCAGGGCGGCAGUGACCAGUGGAUUGAGAUCGGUCCUUGGGAGGCUGAGUACAUCACCAUCGGUGGCAAGAACAACAAUGCCUCCCACGGUGCCCGCGACCAGUCUGCGCUGCUCCUGAGACAGGGCUACGAUGAGGCUGACAAGCGCCUGCAGAUGAACCGCACAGGAGCAAUCCUGAUGCAGGCUGCGGCGUCCAUGCCAAUUCUGAUCCACACCAACCCGACGCGCGGUACCAAUAACACCGGCGGCGACAUCAACAUGCUGGUCGGGUCCGGCGACACCGGGCACGGCGGCAACAUGACGCUGACGUCCGGCGACACCGUGGACGCUCGCCACAGAGGAGGCUUCCUGACACUCACGGCUGGUGGAAACAACAACACCGUGGGUGGCCAGGGCGGAGUGGUGAAGGUGACCGGCGGUUUUGCUGGUGGCACGACCGACUGCGAUCUGGACUACUACGAGUGCGGCGGCCUGAACAUCACCGUGGCGAUGUACGAGGCUGUGCUGCACGGCUGCACGGCCGACGCUGGCACCGCGGCUUCUUCGGCAUUCCUUUGCGGCACCAUGGAGGUGACCGCAGCUCAGCGCACUGCUGUGCUUGGAGGGUGCACC